ensembl:lncRNA
UAAAGAAUAAUUGUUGGUAGUUUAUUUACAACAAAAUGCAAGGAAAAAAUACAAUAUUAAAAAUAAUAAAUAACUUGGAAAAUCAGAAACUAAAUGAUAUGAGUGAGAAAUAUGACAAUCAGAUUCUCCUGCUGAGCCUUGCAUUAUUUAACAUGCAGAGCAUUUCAAAACUUGGUCCUUCUUUGAUGGUGGUGAUGUAUUGCCUAAUGCAGCCACCAUUGUUCUAAACAAAAGAAAUGAAUUACUGGACAUUCAGUCUCAGGUGGAAUUAUCACAGAAACAAAAUAAACCAAUGAAACCUGUUUCAGUGACAGCACAAAACUACUGGAGAUUGUAAUUCAAUGACCAUGCUGUUCCUAUAAAGAAAACAUUGUUAGACUUAUUUAGCAAUUUUAAGUUACACAUAUAAACCCAAGACCAAACAAUGGAAACAGAAAAGCUCCUAUUGACAAGAUCAUGAAUUCUCUCUUACUGCACUCACUACUUCAUAAAAAGCAUAUACAUUUGCCUUGUUUCAAAGGAUAGCAGGUUGGUUUGAAGUUACAGUGCAGCAAGCUUCAAAGCAGUUUUAACAAAAUACAGCGGUCUGGUUACAAACUAAAACUCAAGGAACAAAUAUUUCCAUUUCAAAAUCUCUACAGCAGCAAUUAAUGCAAACUGGCUACUAGAUGUCACAAAAUCACCUUCCAGAAUAAUAAAAAAAGCUAAAGAAUAAGGUCAAAUAGUUUCUUUCCAUAGGGUUUAUCCAGUCAUUUACAAAAUUAACCAUUACAUUCAUAAGAGAUCCUAUUAAGUAGGUGUUUCAGGAAUGUGCUGCUCCUCAUAGCCUUCAUGGAUACCUCCCUUUUUUUAGAUCUACCCCUCUAAAGGCAGCAAUGAAUUGCCAGUCAUUUUGUAAUGAUUGUUCCAUAUGAAAUACAUAAAAGUAAAGCUGGGAGGAGGUUUUAAUAGAAACCCAAACAAACUCAUCAUGUUAUUUGCUCCAAACUGCACUCUCCUUGACGAAGAACUCCCCAUCAAGCCCUUACAGAGCUGUAUCACGUAAUUCUUCAGUCACUGUGGUGGAGAGCAGGAACAGGCUAUUGUGCCUAUUCAGCUUUGCCGCAGGGCUCCACACUCUAAAGAUGGACUCACUAAAUAAUCACAUCAUUUAUUUUCAUAAAAGAAGUGAUGAACACCUGCAAAAUGCUAUUUUUCUCCUAAUAAACAUGCUUGAAAAUACAACAGAAAGCACUGUGAAAAAAUUAGUAAUGAAAACCACCCCUUCGCUCCAAGAUGUUACACUUUAGUAUUCAGACCUUCCUUUUUUCUUAGUUUUGUGUGGGUUUGAGUGUUUGCUGGGAAUAUUCUAGAAAAAGUUGUCCUACCUUAGAAAGAAAGAAAGAACAACCGAAUGAAAAGGAUAUUUAAAGAUCCUAUUGACCAAACGGGUCAUGACUGGUGGGGAAAGCAAAGCAGAACACAGCAGAGGGUACUUACACAGGCAGUGAAAAGCCUGAGGUGUUUCUUAUCCAGGGCAACAGAACAUUACAGAUCCUUUUAUUUGCCUUCAUUAGGAAGCCCCAGGGAAGCAAAGUGGCUGAUCGUGAUCCUUGUGGUGACCAACAGUGAAUUCAGGCUGUUGGGUCAGUGAACCCUCCUCAAGAGUAGCGCUGCAGGGAGAAGGGCUGCAGCAGCAGCACAGAGACACAGCACUGAGCGGCCUGUCAUUCUCCUACAUCUCUGUCAUGCAGCUCUUAAGAUGUGUCCUAUACAGGUAUGUUCAGAAUUUUCCUACGUGCCCUAUCCCCAAACCAAAUUAAUAUGAUAACCAAUGUAUCCACAAGGGAUUAGAAAUCAAUCUGUUACAUACGAGUAAAGGUACGACUGCUUUUGUCUAAUCAUCUCUGUAAAACCCAGAUGCCAAAACUUACAUAGAAACAUUUAUCUGUAAGCACAGGGACAUGAUGCCUUUCUUUGACAAAGAAAAAAAUCAUUGAAAACCAGAUUUUCAGGUGGAGCAGACCUAAACUUUUUCUAUAUAGGUCAAAUUCAGGAAAUAAAAAACCCAACCAAACAAUGCUUGAUGUUUUCAAAGGUUUCUUUUCUCUGCUAAUGUUCCAAUCUUGCUACUAAAUAAAUAAUAAUGAGAUUAGACCAGUUAUAAUCAUGAAUAUAUAAUCUGCACACUCUUGAAGCUGAAAUCAUAAACUAAUGUAGGAAAGUUUUGUUUGCAUUACAGCAGCUUCUUUCUAAGCAAAAAAAAAAGCAUCACUCAUUAAUUUACUAAUCACACAGAAUUAGUAGCUCUGAGAAGAAAAGUGAAGCAGGACACGGACAGUAAGUAGGAGAAUGCAGGAAGUCAGACCACAGCUAACCUAAAAAGGGCUCCCAGAUUUUGCUAGCUACAGGAUUUUAACUAUCAAACAAAUAUACACUUGUUGUCAGUGCAGGUUGGCAGUGGAAUUCUCCUGCUACUAGAACUACCUUAUAAAUAUCGCACAUUCAACAUAACUUUGUAGAUCUACAGCCAUUGAGAAGUUCAGUGCAUUUAAGCCAGUCAAAUCACAGGCUUGUGCUGAGAAAACAGCACAAAGGUCCUGCCCAGGUAAGAGGCCAUCCCCAGCCAGCACUCAGUGAUAGUUCAGCUCUGGAGGACUCUCUUUUUUCUAACCCACGUCCCAUGUAAUCAGUGGCACAAAGUAUAACCCACUUUGAUCAUAUGAUUCAGGUAAUGGCUGUCAUUCACUGGAAUUGAACAAAGGCUUACUUAACCUCUACUACAGCUACCAAGAGAGACAGGUACUGACAGCAUUCAUUAAACAGCAAUUUGGGUCCGCAGGGAAAGCCCCUCAUUGAGCCUAGGAAGAGAUUACUUCUGCGAUUUGUUUUUCUCCUCCUUCCACAAUCUUUUCCACUGGGAAACAUCUUUUCUACAUUUUAAUUCCUGAGAUUGAAGAGCGAUUUCACACAGACCAGGAAGGCAGGCCACUUCUGUUUCCUUAAUGUCACCCUACACAGAACUGAGCAGCCCCUUAACUCAUUUGCUUUUCAAAGUGGCUGAUUUUGUUCACCCCUUAUCUAGAUGAUGGCAAAGCCUGGAAACAACUGUUAGCUGUUUGGAAAAGAUGGGAGGCAGGAAAGAAAAAGGAGUCUUGUAUUUUCUUUACGUUCAAGGUCUUAACAGUGUAACUACUACUCAUCUUCCAAUAAGGAAAAGAAAGAAUUCAUUGAUUUUGCUUCUCAACUGGCUCAAUUUAGCUGCUUUUUUGCAAUCUUACACAUGGAACACAACUGAUGAAUGCCAAGAGGGAUUUAAGAGAUCACAAAAGGACAGGGAAGAGCUAUUAAAAUACAUUAUCUACAAGAAAUAGGUGGUUUCUUUUACAAAUUCUGUGCAAGAUAGAAAUAGUUCAAUGGCCUCAAAGUCAGUAAAAUUAAUUACAAUUGGGGCUUCAAUACAGUAAUAUUUUAGGUCUGAAAAGUUUUGUUUGUUAACUAGGCCCCAAAUCCUGAGUCAUAUUAAGCAAAAUGUGAAUCUUGAGUGACUGGUGUUGGUGUUCAAGUACAAUGAGUUACAGGUUAAAGGUUUAUGAAUACACUGAAGCCUGAGAGCAGGAAGGAUUUUAAAACCAGCUGUAAAAGAAGAAAAUGGGAGGGUUUUUUUCCUGUUAACCCUGCAUUCGAGUUGGCACUAAUUUGCCACAGAAGUCCUUGGCAGCUUUACUAAAUACCUACUCCCAAUUAUAAAUGCUAUGACCUAGAUGAGGAUUUGUAGGUAGAAUACUGCUACAGAAAGAUUUCAUUUACAGCGUUCCCCUCAGACUAUGUCAUUGUAUGUCAGGACGAUGCACCAGAUGGCUUGAAACACUACUUUAGGAGUAUAUAGACUACGUUCUCUUGCAUGCACUUCUCUGAAGGUUUUAAGGAUCAAGUCUGAGGAAAGAAGUAAUCUUUCCACACCAGAAAGAUUAUUUUAAGCAAAAAAAAAAACCAAACAACAAACCACCAUGACCUUUGUAGAAACUGAGUUACAUCACUCUUGCUGUGGUAGACAUGGCUUAUCAGGAGGAAACAUGCUGGGUGAAUUUAAAGGGUUUUUUUCGCUGGAUCUGGAAGAGUGAGAGUUUCUGGAGCAGACUUUUUCCGAGGCCGGUCUUUGGAAACUGUUAGGAAUUCAGGAGCAUCUGUGGAGAGAGGAGUCGAUGGAGCACUAGAUGGAGCACUGCGGGUUGAAGAAGGCAUGGAAGUGUUAGAGAUAGAUAUUGCAGGUGGGAAAAUCCCAAUUUUCUUGUUGGUGGCUUCCUGAGUUGCUCGUUCAAACUCUCGGACUUCAUCCAUUGUCAU